AUUGAACGCUGGUGGCAGGCCUAACACAUGCAAGUCGAGCGGAAACGAUCCUAGCUUGCUAGGAGGCGUCGAGCGGCGGACGGGUGAGUAAUGCAUAUGAAUCUACCCAGUCGUGGGGGAUAACCUGAGGAAACUCAGGCUAAUACCGCAUACGUCCUACGGGAGAAAGCGGGGGCUCUUCGGACCUCGCGCGAUUGGAUGAGCCUAUGUCGGAUUAGCUAGUUGGUAAGGUAACGGCUUACCAAGGCGACGAUCCGUAGCUGGUCUGAGAGGAUGAUCAGCCACACCGGGACUGAGACACGGCCCGGACUCCUACGGGAGGCAGCAGUGGGGAAUAUUGGACAAUGGGCGAAAGCCUGAUCCAGCCAUGCCGCGUGUGUGAAGAAGGCUUUCGGGUUGUAAAGCACUUUCAGCGAGGAAGAAAGCGUGCCGUUUAAUACACGGUACGGACGACAUCACUCGCAGAAGAAGCACCGGCUAACUCCGUGCCAGCAGCCGCGGUAAUACGGAGGGUGCAAGCGUUAAUCGGAAUUACUGGGCGUAAAGCGCGCGUAGGCGGCGUGUCACGCCGGGUGUGAAAGCCCCGGGCUCAACCUGGGAACGGCAUCCGGAACGGGCAGGCUAGAGUGCAGGAGAGGAAGGUAGAAUUCCCGGUGUAGCGGUGAAAUGCGUAGAGAUCGGGAGGAAUACCAGUGGCGAAGGCGGCCUUCUGGACUGACACUGACGCUGAGGUGCGAAAGCGUGGGUAGCAAACAGGAUUAGAUACCCUGGUAGUCCACGCCGUAAACGAUGUCGACUAGCCGUUGGGUCCCUUGAGGACUUAGUGGCGCAGUUAACGCGAUAAGUCGACCGCCUGGGGAGUACGGCCGCAAGGUUAAAACUCAAAUGAAUUGACGGGGGCCCGCACAAG
rnacentral:rRNA from 1 species